CUAGUAUUUAGCAAGAAUGUUCCACAUGCUCUGUGUUAUACAAUUUGCUUUUAUGCUUUGUCACAUUUAAUAUUCAGAAAAACCCUUUGAGGGAGGUAAAUCCUGUUAUUUACAUCUUUCAGAUGAGCAAACUAUGACCUUGGAAAGGUGUAGUUGCUUGUUAAGUUCUCAACUGGGAAGGCCCUGGACCGUAAAGGUAGAAUAAAUCAGAACCUCAAGCCUGCAUGAGGUAGGCCGAUGCUAUAAAUUUCUCCAGAGAAAAUCCUUUCUACCAUGAAAAUCUCAGGACAAGAGAGGUCAGCUCCUUGUUUUUCCUCUCCGCGGUAUGGGGUUUCUCAGAGAUUUUUGGUGGUGGCUAAUUGAUCAUGGUGUCCCUAGGAAUGAAACAGCUGGGCAGUCUGCUGGAGUAUUGCUUGAUCUGCAACAUCGAAAAACUCUAGUUCUGGUGGCCAAACCCUGACUUAAGUUGCCACGAUGGAGAGAAGGACCACUCACCAGGUUUUCUGGCCUAAGCCAAUUCACAGACUCAGAGCCUCUUGAGGAAGGACUCUUCAUUACGGUUUCAAGCCCACGUUAUGUGAAAGCUCUUCCUUGAAGCCUCUACUGCUGCCCCCAAGAAGUGUGACCGCCCCUCCUUUGAACCUCCAUGAUUGAUGACGAAUAAGCCAUUCAUUCUACUUAAACUGAUUACAGUAGUGGGUUAUGAUCUCUUCAACACAGAAACGACACCAUGACUGUUUUUAAUGACUUCCAAUAUACGAAGAAAAACUAAGAACUCAGAACUUAGGGUGGGUGUGGUAGGGGAAUUAUAGUAUAAAAUCCAUGUGUUUUAGAGCUCGUUGGACUGUAAGAGGUUGGAAGAGCUCAGGUAUGUUUUGGGUUAGUCCAGUCCCUCAAACUAUUUCUUUCAAAUGUUUUCUUUCAACCAAAUCUGAAACACAUUUUGCCAAAACCUUUCUUGCCUUAAUUUUUAAAGCCAUGUGUAUUUAAAGGGACAUUUAAUCCAUAUGUUUUGGCUCAUUUACACUUAACUCAUCAAGAUAUUGUUUUGAAGAGCUAUUUGAGCUCCAUGGAACCCAUUUUAUAAGUCUUUUCUUCUGCAGUACUAGGAAGUUGUGUUUUGCUGGAAACAGAAAUUGAACCCACGAAAUGAUUAAGUUUGGAUGAAAAUUGAGAAUGUACAAGAUUUUUUGAGAGCCACUAAACUUUACUUAGAAAAGCGUGUUAUUCUUUUGCAGUUUUUUAGUUGCUUCUUCUAAGUACCAAUAUGCUUUGGGCAAGAUGCUAAAUUUGAUCAUCUAUUAAAUCUUUAUUUCACAGUUAAAUGUGUGAAUGCUUAUUGCCCAAAAUAUCUUCUUUAGUGAAAAGAUAAAAGCAAGUUAAAAAAAAAUAAGGAGAAUAUACAACAGAGCGAGCUCUAAACUCCUUUUGAUGUUGAUGCUGAGAUAAACUUGGACCUUCAGGGUAGCUUUUCUCUUCCCAUCAGCACUUCCAUAGAGUUCUGCCCACUCUUUUCCUGAAGUUCCUUCUGCAGGGUUUCAGGGAGAUAGGGAGCUACUGCUGAAUGGGG
rnacentral:lncRNA from 1 species